rnacentral:rRNA from 1 species
UCGAGUGAAUCGUGGUUAAGGAAUUCGGCAAAAUGCCCCCGUAACUUCGGGAGAAGGGGGGCCCGGAACCUGAAGUGACUUGCUCACUAGGGUGAAGGGCCGCAGAGACCAGGGAGAAGCGACUGUUUACUAAAAACAUAGGUCCGUGCGAAGUCGCAAGACGAUGUAUACGGACUGACGCCUGCCCGGUGCUGGAAGGUUAAGAGGACCGGUUAGACCGUAAGGUCGAAGCUGGGAAUUUAAGCCCCAGUAAACGGCGGUGGUAACUAUAACCAUCCUAAGGUAGCGAAAUUCCUUGUCGGGUAAGUUCCGACCUGCACGAAUGGCGUAACGACUUCUCCACUGUCUCAACCGCGAACUCGGCGAAAUUGCACUACGAGUAAAGAUGCUCGUUACGCGCAGCAGGACGGAAAGACCCCGGGACCCUUACUAUAGCUUGGUAUUGGUGUUCGGUACGGCUUGUGUAGGAUAGGUGGGAGACUGUGAAGCAUGCACGCCAGUGUGUGUGGAGUCAACGUUGAAAUACCACUCUGGUCGUUCUGGAUAUCUAACCUCGGUCCGUGAUCCGGAUCAGGGACAGUGCCUGGUGGGUAGUUUAACUGGGGCGGUUGCCUCCUAAAAGGUAACGGAGGCGCUCAAAGGUUCCCUCAGCCUGGUUGGCAAUCAGGUUUCGAGUGUAAGUGCACAAGGGAGCUUGACUGCGAGAGAGACAUCUCGAGCAGGGACGAAAGUCGGAACUAGUGACCCGGCGGUGGCUUGUGGAAGCGCCGUCGCUCAACGGAUAAAAGGUACCCCGGGGAUAACAGGCUGAUCUUGCCCAAGAGUCCAUAUCGACGGCAUGGUUUGGCACCUCGAUGUCGGCUCGUCGCAUCCUGGGGGUUGAGUUGCUCCCAAGGGUUGGGCUGUUCGCCCAUUAAAGCGGUACGCGAGCUGGGUUUAGAACGUCGUGAGACAGUUCGGUCCCUAUCCGCUGUGCGCGUAGGAAACUUGAGAAGGGCUGACCCUAGUACGAGAGGAUCGGGUUGGACGAACCUCUGGUGUGUCAGUUGUCCUGCCAAGGGCACCGCUGAUUAGCUACGUUCGGAAGUGAUAACCGCUGAAAGCAUCUAAGCGGGAAGCACGCUUCAAGAUGAGGUUUCCAUGCACCGUUAGGUGUGAGAGGCUCCCGGCUAGACUACCGGGUUGAUAGGCCAGACGUGGAAGUGCAGCAAUGCAUGUAGCUGACUGGUACUAAUAAGCCGACAACUUGGU